UACAGAGGUCCCAAGCGUUGUUCGGAUUCACUGGGCGUAAAGGGUGCGUAGGUGGCGAGGUAAGUCGGAUGUGAAAGCUCGGAGCUCAACUCCGAAAUGGCAUUGGAAACUACCUUGCUUGAGGGAUGGAGGGGGGACUGGAAUUCUCGGUGUAGCAGUGAAAUGCGUAGAUAUCGGAAGGAACACCAGUGGCGAAAGCGGCUCACUGGCUCGUAACUGACGCUCAUGCACGACAGCGUGGGGAUCAAACAGG
rnacentral:rRNA from 1 species